rnacentral:rRNA from 1 species
AGCGAACGCUGGCGGCAGGCUUAACACAUGCAAGUCGAGCGGGCAUCCUUGUGGUGUCAGCGGCAGACGGGUGAGUAACGCGUGGGAACGUGCCCUUCGGUUCGGAAUAACUCAGGGAAACUUGAGCUAGUACCGGAUACGUGCGAGAGCAGAAAGGUUUAUCUGCCGAAGGAUCGGCCCGCGUCUGAUUAGCUAGUUGGUGAGGUUAUGGCUCACCAAGGCGACGAUCAGUAGCUGGUCUGAGAGGAUGAUCAGCCACACUGGGACUGAGACACGGCCCAGACUCCUACGGGAGGCAGCAGUGGGGAAUAUUGGACAAUGGGGGCAACCCUGAUCCAGCCAUGCCGCGUGAGUGAUGACGGCCUUAGGGUUGUAAAGCUCUUUUCUUCGGGACGAUAAUGACGGUACCGGAGGAAUAAGCCCCGGCUAACUUCGUG